UAGGGAAUCUUCGGCAAUGGGGGCAACCCUGACCGAGCAACGCCGCGUGAGUGAAGAAGGUUUUCGGAUCGUAAAGCUCUGUUGUAAGAGAAGAACGUGUGUGAGAGUGGAAAGUUCACACAGUGACGGUAACUUACCAGAAAGGGACGGCUAACUACGUGCCAGCAGCCGCGGUAAUACGUAGGUCCCGAGCGUUGUCCGGAUUUAUUGGGCGUAAAGCGAGCGCAGGCGGUUUAAUAAGUCUGAAGUUAAAGGCAGUGGCUUAACCAUUGUUCGCUUUGGAAACUGUUAAACUUGAGUGCAGAAGGGGAGAGUGGAAUUCCAUGUGUAGCGGAGAAAUGCGUAGAUAUAUGGAGGAACACCGGUGGCGAAAGCGGCUCUCUGGUCUGUAACAGACGCUGAGGCUCGAAAGCGUGGGGAGCAAACAGG
rnacentral:rRNA from 1 species